UACAGAGGUCCCAAGCGUUGUUCGGAUUCAUUGGGCGUAAAGGGUGCGUAGGCGGACCUGCAAGUCGGGGGGUGAAAGCCCGAGGCUCAACCUCGGAACUGCCUUCGAUACUGCGGGUCUCGAGUCCGGGAGAGGUGAGUGGAAUUCCUAGUGUAGAGGUGAAAUUCGUAGAUAUUAGGAAGAACACCAGUGGCGAAGGCGGCUCACUGGCCCGGUACUGACGCUGAGGCGCGAAAGCGUGGGGAGCAAACAGG
rnacentral:rRNA from 1 species